rnacentral:lncRNA from 10 species
CCCAGAUUCAUAGACUCCAUACCUCACUGAUAUGGCAGAGACUACUGGAUGCCUACCCAAUAGCCUUGUUCCCUUAAUAGAAGAGCCUAGUUUUAUUUGAAGCAGCAAAGCAUCAAGCAAAAAGAUUAUAUUCCCAAGCCUCCCUUUCAACUAGAGUUGAUCAUGCAACCAAGUUCUGGACAGACAGUGAGUACUUUUGUGGGAGAAUUCCAUAAAGUCCUUUUAAAGCAACCUGAGUUAAUGAAGGUGGAUCAUUUGUUCCCUUCUUCUUUUUUUUCUUCCUGCUCCCUGCCGAUGAAAAACUAAAGCUCCAUCCACUAUCGUGGGCUAACAGUGAGCUUGAGUACAAAGCUGUGCAUUAGGAUGAAGAAGAUGAAAUAUAAUGGGAGCCUGGGCUCCUGAGCAUCUCAAGGCUGCCAUACCAACCCUGGCUUGCCUUCUUCUGAAAUUCUCAUAUAUAAGAAAGAAAGAAAUGAUUUUUAUAAAGCCACAUUAUUUGCAGGGCUUCUUUUUUAUGCAGCUAAGCCUAAUCCUAAAGGUUACAAUGAGAUGGCUUAAUUUGAGAAAUGAUGCAGAAAGAAGACACUAUCUGCUAUCAGACCUGGUUCCUUCCCUUGGCCCACAUGGUCAUAAGAAGGAAGGAAGGAAUAAUGAAUGAAACACAGUUCAUCAGAUUGGAAUGCCAUCAACUGCAUGACAUGCUAUAAUUUUAUGCAUCACCAACAAAGAAAAAAAUGUUGCCAAUUAAACUAUGACAUGUCAUUGAUUGUGAGAUGCAAAUCAAUUUCAUAAAUGCUAAAAUGUGAGGGGAAAAAAAGCCAACCUGUGAAAUAUGGUGUGCUGAGGAUUUAGCAAAGCACAGUUAGGAUUUAAAGUUCAUCAGAUCAAUGCAUCCUCCCAUCCCUAUCUUAAAGAACAGGACACCAACACCAAGGUCCAGCAAGGGGCAGUAAUUUGUCCUAUAAAAUUCAGGGAUAGAGACAAGAUGAGAAUCUUGACAGCAAAUUGAGAGCUCUUUAAUAGGUCCCAAUAGAUACCAAAUAUUUGUUUGUGUUACCUUGACCACUAGCAACACGUUUAUUUAAUCAUCCACCUGUUCCUGUUUUUCCCUUUAAAAUAUGCAGUGCUGAAUAGCAGAGGCAAAGGCCCUCACCCCUCCCACACACAAAUGGACUCAGCAGUCACAGGAGAUGAUGCAGACAGAUUUCCCAGUAAAUUCAUGCUCACACAGGGCAUACACCUGAGUCAGUGGCUCUGAAGGAGAUGAAGAACACCAGGUGGCUAUGGAGAACUGCAGCAUGGUGAAUGGCGCUUUCCCAAGGGAUAUCCAGAACCUAGACUCCCAGUUUAUCAGAGAUGGAGGGCCCAAAGAGAUCAUGCAUCAGUCUAGCCUGCAUUAAAGAUAAAAAUUCUUCUAAUCUCUCAUAAUCUGUUGUGGGUUUUAGAAAGACCAUGCUUCUGACAGUACUGUUGAUUCCGGAGGCAAGGAGUGAAGUAAGAAGGACACUUCAGCCAUCCAGGUAAAGAGAACAGCAGGUCCUGGACUAAAGCAGAAAAGACGGAGUGAGUAGGAAAGAUGGUCCAAUCAAACAUCAACGAAGCUUCAAAAACAUCAAGCUUCUGAAGUCAUUUUCCUGUUCUUGGUACUGUUUCCUCCUCUGUUCCCAAAUAUACCCUAUGCCCUCGCUCUCAACAUCCCUCAUUGCAAUUCAUCUUUUUUUAGACUAUGCAUAAAUAAGGUAUGAAUGACUAAUAACGGUGUAGGUUGCCAAGGACAGCUGCGUUCAUAUAGGGAAUCCAAGCCAUAAGCUAAAUGAUGUAGUUCUGAUGGCAGAAUUUCAAACAUCAACCUGGGGAUGAAGAGGUACUUGAGUCAUUAGGGCCUCCCAUUGCUAUAGAUAUCCUCAGCUAUCUUUCCUCCUCUAAGGAUGCUUGCAUGAAAAAUAAGCUAGUCUUUCCUAUUUUUCUCCAGCAAAAAAUUUUAAAUUUCAAUGUGCAUCUUUCUAUAUGUGUAUGUAUAUGUGUGUAUAGAGAAGGUCUAAAUGAGUGAAACUUUUGCACAAUAAAGCAAUAUAGGGAAAUAUGGUGGGUUACUUUUUAAAGUAUACAGUAGCAUGGUAGAACAGAAUGUCUAUGGGGCCUGCUCUAAUAAAUACAUAGAAUGGUUUAUAAUUAGCAGAAGCCUUGAAAAUGGGUCUUCUUCUGAUACUUAGAUAAAAAAGGAUGAGUUUAUGAAAAUGUUUUAAAAACUGGAAGCACUAUAGAUAUGUUUUCUUUAACAUGAUAUGACUAUUUGAAAUGGAUUUGUUCUUGGAGGGCAUUAAUUAUAUUGCAAUGAAGUUUUCACCACAAUCAGAACCAGGAUUAUCUUCAUUUUACAGAUGAUGAAACAAAGGCUCAAAAAAGUAGCCCAAGCCAUUGUUCUUCGCAAAAUUGUACAGUUAUCUCUCAAAAUGGGGGUCAGUGGGCAGAGCGUUGGGCUCCAAAACUAAAAAUGUCUUCCCUGUAAAUUAUCCUAGGGAAAGGGAGACAGAACUGAUAUCCAUUGAGCAUUUUCCCUGGUCCAGUGAAACUUUUAAGUAUCAUCUAAUAGAAUCCCCAGAAUAAACCUAGGAAGUAAGUGCCAUUAUUAUCCCCACUAUGCUGGUUCAGAGAGGGUAGGAUCCUGCCCAAGCUCACAGAGCAAGAAGGCAGCAGGACCAGAUCUCACACCUAGGUCUGGCAAACACCAAGGAUGUGGCUAGCUCUUACAAGUCCAGAGUUUUUCUAUUCCAUAGCUGUGAGUAUACAUUUGGUUUAUUUGGAAUAAUAGUGCCUCAUAGCUCCCCUGGGGAAAAGAGGACCUGGGGAUACUUUCAAUCUGGAUGGAUAUUGCCUUGCCAAGAAUUCAUUUAUGGAGAAAGCAAACAGUCUCCCUCUCUCGUAAACCUGCAUUUUGCCAAAUGAAUACAUAAUGAGGCCUUCAGAACAUUGAGACAUUAUUUUCCCUGCAAAUCCUGGACCAUUUAGAAGGAUAUCAGACCUUGCUUUGCUUGGCAGGAAAACUAUGUUAGUGAUUCAUUCCAAAGCAUAAAAGGACAAUACAGAAACAGUCACGGAAAAAGGUGUAAGAGCAGAGAAGAGAAGGCAAGGUCAGGGGUAGAGGGGAAGGAGGGGACAGAAGAAGGAGGAGACAUGAGGAAGGAGGAAGGAAGGAGGAGGCUGCCGUUGUGAGCACUGGGCACAGGAUGCUUUUGAAAUGCAGACACCAGGUCAGAUCUCAAUAUAGCAGCUGAUCCCAAGCUUCUACAAAAGGUACUGAAGUUAGCACUUCUGUCUGGUCAGAAAGGCAGCUGGAAGAUGGAGAUAAAAGAACGGCCACUCAUUCCACCCCACCCCCUACCUCCAAUCACACAUAACUUUGAAUGCAGGGGAGAGAAAAGGUGCUGGGCCCAAAAACAGGGGUGGGCCGGAAGGAGGGAGCAGCCUGCCAUCUGAUCAAAAACACUUUCAAGUUAAGAUUAAACUCUAGAGAUUGCAGGAGGCCAAUUUAAUGGAAAAUGUUCCCUGUCCUCCCUGUCCCCUUCCUUGGCUUCCCAUGGGAGGGGACUGGGUUGUGAUGUUGCUCAUCAGAGGAACUCCAGGGUACCAGAUCUUAUCCAAAUGAGCAGCUGGAAAUGACCAAAAUGAUAGGAAAAAAAAUAGUUUACAACAUGUUGAAAGAGAGACAAGGGUGGGAAAGAUAGAUUUUAAUUAUCCUGCAUUCUUCCUGUGGAAGGGCAGGACACCCAGGAACAUUUAAAGGCCAUUAGCUCUGAAAGCUGAAGCUGGCAAAGGGAAAAUCCACUGGCAAAGGGAAAAUCCACUGGAAAAUCACUUUUCCAGGCCUCAGUUUCUCCAUAUGGAAAAUAGAAAGGUCAGGUCACUAUAGAGAUUGCCCCACACUGAGCAAGUAUGCAGAGUGGUUAAGUCUAUGGGGUCUGCUCAAACUUCUCCUCUCCCACCUAUAAGCUGUGUGACCUUGACAAGUGUCUUAACCUUCCUGAGCCUCAGUUUCCUUUCUGUGAAGUGGCAGUCAUGAUCAAUUCUACCUGUCAGGAUUAUGGUGAGGAUUAAAUGAGCUAGUCCAUGGGAAGUGCAUAAAACAGUGGGUGCUCCACAACAAACAUGCAAUAUAAGCUCCCACUAUCUUUAUUACUAGAUAUUCAGAUGUUCUCUUGUCCUGCAAAAGAUGGCGAGAUGGAGAAGGUUGACCCUAAAACUAUGGAUUUGAGACCUACUUCCGCAAAUCACUUAGCUUAUUCCUAAGGCCUAGCUUUGUCAUUCAAAAUACAGGGCUUGUAAGGUGUGUGACUGCCAAGUGCUCUGUAAACAUGAGGUCAAUAUCAGUUGUCACCUCUCAUCAGUGGAAAUGAGGAGUAGCAUUCAGUGGGUAUGAAGUCUCAGUUAUACAAGAUUAAUAAGUUCUAGGGAUCUGCCAUACAAAAUAAUGCCUAGAGUCAAUAAUAGUGUAUUGCGCACCAAAAAUAUUUAAGAGGGUAGAUCCCAUGUUAAGUGCUCUUACUAUGCAUGAAACAAAAACAAAUGAACAGAAAAAAGAUGGCAUAAGGAAACUUCUGGAGGUGAUGGAUAUAUCUAUUGUCUUGAUCAUAGUGAUUGUUGUAUGGGUGUAUAAAUAUAUAUAUAUAUAUAUAUACUUAAAUUCAUCAAAUUAUAUGCAAGAAAUUUGUACAGUUUUACUUAUCAAUUAUAGUUCAAUAAAGAUGUUUUUUAACCAGUGAAGUUUUUCUACAAAGACAAUUCUAUAUUACAAAUAAAUUGCAUUUUAGCAGAAAAAGUAUAGUAAUACAGAAAAUUGUUAAGCCCCAUACCUCUUCGAAAAGCAUAAAUUGAAUUUUGCUUGGCCGUCAAUACUAUAUUACUAUGUUUAUAAAUAAAUAAAUGAAUAAAUAGAUAGAUAACAUUUCUGUUAGCUCUAAAGGACUUCCUACACUCUUAAAUUCAAGGAUGAUAUUCUGCACCUUUUAGAGCUGUGUGUACACACACUCCCAACUGACAAGCUUCUGCAUGUGGUUGAAUAUUGCCUCACAGUGUUCCAGAAGCAAGAAAGAUGCCAUGUCUCCAGCUGGUCAGCCUAGAAAUUGGAAGCAGAACCAAUUGUGGCUAACUAGAGAUCCUGCUGGGCCUCUGCACGUCAGCCUCCAACUUGCCUGGGAAGGCCCCAGGUCAUUAAUGGCCACAAACAGCAGGACAUUUUCUGCCUGUCUUCUUGCAGUGACCAGGACACAAGAUGCUUGACCAAUGAGAGAGGCCCAUUCAAAGCCAUUGCACCUCUAAGGAGGGGUGAGCUGCCAUCAGCCUUUUCUCCCAAUCUGCAGAAUUUUAUGACCUUUUCUCUGCUAAGAACAAAGUUCAUUGCCUCAAUUCCACCACUUGCUGUUGGAGCUGGUGGGAUGUAGAGUGGGGAGUUUCACAUUCUGACCCCACUGCUGACACCCCCUGUGGCAUCUUUGCAGCCGCAUUCCCUCCUCUGGGUGCUAUGGUCUGAAUGUUUGUACCCUCCCACACAAAUUCAUAUGUUGAAAUCCUAUCCCCCAAGGUGAUGGUAUUAGGUGGGGCUUUGAGGGAGGCCAUUAGAUCAGGAAGGGAGAUCCCUCAUGAAUGGGAUUAGUGCCCUUAUAAGAUAUACCCAAGGGAGCUCAUUCACCCUUCCACUAUGUGAAAUCACAGCUGGAAGGAGCCAUCUAUGAGCCAAAAAAAUGGACCCUCACUAGACACAGAAUCUAUCAAUACCUUGAUAUUGACUUCACAGCCUCCAGAGCUAUGAGACAUAAAUGACUGUUGCUUAUAAAUCACCAGUCUAUGUAUGGUAUUUUGUUAUAGCCACUCGAAUGGACUAAGACACUGGGCCUCAGUUUCCUUGUAGGGUAACUGGAGCCAAUGAUUCCUAAUAUAAUGGCUUAUAUCUGGAACAUAUGGUGGCCUAUGUCUGUAGUCCCAGCUCCAAAGUAAGCAUUUUACAAUGUGGUUGCUGGAUGCUCAGGAGCCCCCCAUGAUACCUGGCGUUCACUCCCUCAUGUGGUUCCCUCCCUUUGCAUGCAGGCAGGGCCUGUUACUUGCUUUUAGCCAACAGGACAAAGAUGAUGGGAUGUAAUUUCUGCGAUUUGUUCCAUGAGAUUGUAACAUCAGUCUUGCCAGAAGACUCUCCCCCUUGCUGCCUUUGAUAAAACAAGUGGCCAUGUUGGGAGGCCCGUGUGGCAAGACACCAGUCAGCAGCCAGCAAAAAACUGUCCUCUGUAUCACAGCUUCAAGGAACUAAAUCCUGCCAAAAUCAAGUAAGCUCACAACAACCCACAACUACUCAGUCAAGAAGCAAGACGAGAGGACAGCCCCAAUCAACACCUUGAUUUCAGCCUUCUGAGCCCCUACAGCAAAGGACCCAGAUAAGCCAUGCCUGAACUCCUGGCCCACAGAAACUGUGAAUUAAUAAAUGUCUGUUGCUUUAGGACACCAAAUUUAUCCUGAUACUGUUAUACAGCAAUAGAUAACUAAUACAAUAGGAUAAAAUGAUGAAUGCUACUGAGAA